GGCAAAAUCACACCCCUGCUAGA
rnacentral:piRNA from 1 species